rnacentral:lncRNA from 10 species
CAAUGAACUUCCCCUCCCCAGAUGGACAGCGUGGCAUCGUCAGGGCCCAGCUGCAGCUUUCCGGGCCAACGGGUCUUCGUGCAUUGUCUGAUUUUGUUCUGACAAGCACACGAGGCCGUGCGGUCAUUAUUCCCACUUUACAGAUGAGGAAACACAAGGUAAGGAACUCGCCCGAGGUCACAGGGACGGCUGGAUAUAAAACAGACUCCUGCGUGUACAGAUUUAAAGAUCGGUAAGAAGAGAAUUUCAAAUCUCAGCCAAAGCGAAGGUCAAGUCACUGCUCUUGGGGACGUUCCCUUCACACCCCAGAACGUUCCAACAUGGCCAGUGAAGACAUUGUGUCCCCGUAACCCUGGGGGAGAAGAGGACGGGGCUUAAUGAAAAGUAGAAAGUUUCCUCUUUCCCACUGUUGGAGAUGCCGGCGUCCCCACAUCACCGUCGGCGCUGCAUCUGGUCCACUUCUGGGACCCAUUUGGGUCCCUGGGCCGGGGCUUCCUGUGGAUGAGCCGGGAUCACACAGCGAUGUGGGGUUGCUCAGGGCGCCCCGUUCACUCCAGAGUGACCCCUGACCCAAAGCCAGUGCUGGGUGUUUGCCGAAACUGAAACCAGGGCAGGUCUGAAUCAGACCCUGCAGAACAAUGAGGCCUUUUGUGCGAAUGAGGCGGGGGAGGGACUGGAGGAGACCAGGAGCUUCCUGACGGGGUCCGCAGCACAGGUCACAGCGAUUGAAUUCAGGAGGUGACCCUCGAAGGUCAGGUCACAGCCGAGCAGCACAGGCGCUGAGCUAAGUGUCCACAAAGGAGACGAACAAAGCGGCCGCUGUGGGAACAGAGUCAGUGUCGGUCAAGGCUGAGUCCAGGAGCUCGGGUCCGCCGGGCGGCGACGGGGGCUUUGUGCUCGGUCCCCCUACAGUCAAGAGCGUCCUCAGCAUUCCCUGGACAUGGGUUCGUCGGUUCCCUCGUGUUUUUCUAAGAGGAAGUUUGGUGCCUCUGACCCCUCACCCUGACUGCUUUGCUGCUCCAGAGUCCCCCACAUGGUCACCUGUCCCAAGUGGACGAGCUUCAGUCACUCCAGGAUGAUCGUGAUUGUUGCCAAACCCUUGUCAUGCCCAUGCUGUUUUCUGGCGUUUUCUUUUAAACUAAACCGGCUCACAUUUUUACUCAUGGUAAAAGUAAAAAAUGUGUUACCUACUUUAACGUCCUCUGUCGCCAUAAUGAAAUCACAGGU